UGAGGAAUAUUGGUCAAUGGGCGGAAGCCUGAACCAGCCAUCCCGCGUGAAGGAAGAAGGCCUUAUGGGUUGUAAACUUCUUUUCUGUUUGAAGAAUAAGCUUGUCGAGACAAGUGAUGCCGGUAGGACAGGAAUAAGCAUCGGCUAACUCCGUGCCAGCAGCCGCGGUAAUACGGAGGAUGCAAGCGUUAUCCGGAUUUAUUGGGUUUAAAGGGUGCGCAGGUGGUUUAAUAAGUCAGUGGUGAAAAUCUGCCGCUUAACGGUAGGAUUGCCAUUGAUACUGUUGGGCUUGAAUAUGGAUGAGGUAGGCGGAAUGUGUAGUGUAGCGGUGAAAUGCUUAGAUAUUACACAGAACACCGAUUGCGAAGGCAGCUUACUAAUCCAUGAUUGACGCUGAGGCACGAAAGCGUGGGGAUCAAACAG
rnacentral:rRNA from 1 species